UACGGAGGAUGCAAGCGUUAUCCGGAAUCAUUGGGCGUAAAGGGUCCUGAGGUGGUUUGCUAAGUCUACUGUGAAAGAUCAGGGCUCAACCCUGAAGAUGCGGUGGAAACUGGCAGGCUAGAAUACGGUAGGGGCAGGGGGAAUUCCCGGUGUAGCGGUGAAAUGCAUAGAUAUCGGGAAGAACACCAAAGGCGAAGGCACCCUGCUGGGCCGAUAUUGACACUGACAGACGAAAGCUAGGGGAGCAAAAUGGG
rnacentral:rRNA from 1 species